rnacentral:rRNA from 1 species
AUGGGCAGCAUGAGUGAGAUAGUCAUCGAGAAUGCCCCUUGCCUGGAAAGAUUCGCCAGAUCAGAUUUAUUUCGCAGAACCAGCCCACUGCGCAAAGCACCAGUCUUCCGGGUAAUUAGUGCGCCGAAACUGGCGAUCUUGGGCUCACUGACAGACAACUUUGAUAAACUCAAUCUUGGAACCAGAGUUUCACAGGAAAUGGUUGCCGGUAACUUGGAAAUGUUGAUGCGCGGUGUUAAGGUUUUACAUAUCACAUCUAGUGGCCCUAAUCUUGAUGCAGUUCUUGGCUUCCUCAGAGUCUUUCCUUUCUUGGAGAAGCUAUACAUAAUGUCAUCUCUGCAGACGGAUAUGCAAAAUGCGCAUCAUCAUGAGCCAACAGCUCUGAUUGAGUCUCUUGACCAUAUCAGAUAUGUUGAGUUGAAGUGUUACACGGGCACGGAGCUGGAUGUUGACUUUGCUAAGUUCUUUGUUCUCAAUGCUAAGGCGCUCGAGUUGAUGAAAUUUGUUGUCGAAGGCAGAUGCACUCAGAAAUGGAGAACUGAUCAGUACAAGUGCCUACAGUUUGAUAGUAGGGCUUCUCCAAAUGCUCUAUUGGAUUUUAGAUCUUACUCUGGUCAUGCAUAUCCUACUGGAUGUAUCCGAAGGGGCAAUCACCACAAUGAGCAUGUCCUGUCCAUGGCUAAUCCCUUCGAUAGCUCUUCUUGUAGUCACUGCAGA